rnacentral:lncRNA from 1 species
UGGAACUGAAUCUACAUUCACCGCAUGAAAACAUGGACAAAGAUACACACAAAUGAAGAUGCCAUAUUGACACCAUCAACGUACAAAACAGCCACCGCAACUAAUCACAACUCCCACUAAUGGCACACAGUACAAAUCAGGUCCCCGAUUAUUUCGCCACCAGCAGCACGAACUCAUAUAGUAGUACAUCUCCGGCGCGGCGCACGCGGAUCACGGGGCCGGCACGCACGGCCCCGCAGCUUAUUGCUACCACCACACAGUGUGAGGCCGGCGUACUCGGUCUUACUCCGAGGCGGCGGCGCCAUCGGCGGGGCAGCGGUCGACGACGGCCUCGAGCUUGUAGGGCGCGGCGUCGGUGGCGAGCCACUGCUCGACGGUGAAGAGCUGCUGCGCGCAGCCGCGGUGUGGGCCGGUGACGGUGACCUCCACGUAGUUGCAGUACCAGCCGUGGUGCGCGCCGGUGCCGUCGGAGGAGACCCUCAUCCGGCAGGGCGCGGUGGCCAUGCACGGCCCGCGCCCGCUGAAGAUGUCCAGGUUGCCGCGCUCGAAGUAGGAGUGGCCCCCCCACAUGAGCCCGCCCCACGACGGCAGGUCCGAGAUGGCCACGCCGUCGGCGUUGCCCGCCGUGUAGAGCUCCAGAGUGAUGUUGGCGUCCGUCCCGGCCUUCCAGAUCGACCCCGUCCGCACGUACACCGUGUACACGCACUCCUGGCUGUCGCCGCCCACCGCGCCGCCGCCCUUGGUCAGCUGCGGAUCCGUCGAAGCCGGCAAACGAGAUGAGUACACGAGCAGAGUAGUAACCAUGUCAAGAGGAGAGGAUGGGAGGGGGAGGAUGGUGAGUCACCUUGAUCUGGGUCGGGAGGUCGCGGCCGUGGGCCAGCGUGGUGGCGGAGACGGCGACGGCGAAGGCGAGGAGGAGGGCGGCGAGCCGAGCCAUGGCUGGCGGACGGAUCCGAGUUUGAUCGUUCGUGUGGGGAUGUGUGAGAUUGCUGGGGGGAGUGGAUGGUAUAAAAUGGAAGUGGGUGAUGAGGCCG